AUUGAACGCUGGCGGCAGGCCUAACACAUGCAAGUCGAACGGUAACAGGAAACAGCUUGCUGUUUCGCUGACGAGUGGCGGACGGGUGAGUAACGCGUGGGAACGUGCCCUUCUCUACGGAAUAGCCCCGGGAAACUGGGAGUAAUACCGUAUACGCCCUUUGGGGGAAAGAUUUAUCGGAGAAGGAUCGGCCCGCGUUGGAUUAGGUAGUUGGUGGGGUAAUGGCCCACCAAGCCGACGAUCCAUAGCUGGUUUGAGAGGAUGAUCAGCCACACUGGGACUGAGACACGGCCCAGACUCCUACGGGAGGCAGCAGUGGGGAAUCUUAGACAAUGGGGGCAACCCUGAUCUAGCCAUGCCGCGUGAGUGAUGAAGGCCUUAGGGUUGUAAAGCUCUUUCAGCUGGGAAGAUAAUGACGGUACCAGCAGAAGAAGCCCCGGCUAACUCCGUG
rnacentral:rRNA from 1 species